UGAUGAGCUUCCAGGCUUAGAUCGAUGAAGAGGGAUGUGCAAACGCUGAGUUAGGUUUUAUAU
rnacentral:snoRNA from 2 species